rnacentral:SRP_RNA from 1 species
UCGCAGCCAACGAUCACCACUGUCCUCAAUGUGCCCGACGACCUCGCCGGCAACAUAGCAGUUCAUGACAUUAACGAGCUCGGGGGUGAGGAGUAUGGCUGGA